rnacentral:rRNA from 1 species
UACGGAGGGUGCGAGCGUUGUCCGGAAUCACUGGGCGUAAAGGGCGCGUAGGUGGCGCGGGCAGUCAACGGUGAAAGUUCGGGGCUCAACCCUGAAUCGGCCGUCGAUACUCCCGUGCUGGAGCACUGUAGAGGCUAAUGGAAUUCCGGGUGUAGCGGUGGAAUGCGUAGAGAUCCGGAAGAACACCGGUGGCGAAGGCGGUUAGCUGGGCAGUUGCUGACACUGAGGCGCGACAGCGUGGGGAGCGAUCCGG